rnacentral:lncRNA from 1 species
UAUGUGAUAUUGUGUUGAGGUCGCACGUGGCGUAGGUUAUCCGGCGUGUCGACAGACCCCAUACGUGGCGUUGGUUGUACCGGCGUAUGGGGAGAUUUGUGAUAUGAUGUUGAGGUCCCGCGUGGCGUAGGUUAUCCGGCGUUGAGACAGGCCCCAUACGUGGCGUUGGUUGUACCGGCGUAUAGGGAGUUAUGUGAUAUGAUGUGCAGGUCUCACGUGGCGUAGGUUAUCCGGCGUUGAGACAGGCCCCAUACGUG